CCCUUAGAUGUUCUGGGCCGCACGCGCGCUACACUGACGGAUUCAACGAGCUUACAACCUUGGCCGAAAGGUCUGGGUAAUCUCCAAAAUCCGUCGUGAUGGGGAUAGAUUAUUGCAAUUAUUAAUCUUCAACGAGGAAUGCCUAGUAAGCGCAAGUCAUCAGCUUGCGUUGAUUACGUCCCUGCCCUUUGUACACACCGCCCGUCGCUCCUACCGAUUGAAUGGUCCGGUGAAGCGUUUGGACUAUGGUUUUCUGAUGGUCCGCCGUUGGAUUACCGUGGGAAGUUCGUCAAACCUUAUCAUUUAGAGGAAGGAGAAGUCGUAACA
rnacentral:rRNA from 1 species